GAUGAACGCUGGCGGCGUGCCUAACACAUGCAAGUCGAGCGGAGUUUUAGUUGAAGCACUUGUGCAACGAUUAAAACUUAGCGGCGGACGGGUGAGUAACACGUGAGCAACCUACCUUUUGCAGGGGAACAACAUUGGGAAACCAGUGCUAAUACCGCAUAAUAUCUUGGCAAGGCAUCUUGCCAAGAUCAAAGGAUUUCGAUCCGGCAAAAGAUGGGCUCGCGUCCGAUUAGCUAGUUGGUAAGGUAAAAGCUUACCAAGGCGACGAUCGGUAGCCGAACUGAGAGGUUGAUCGGCCACAUUGGGACUGAGACACGGCCCAGACUCCUACGGGAGGCAGCAGUGGGGAAUAUUGGGCAAUGGGGGCAACCCUGACCCAGCAACGCCGCGUGAAGGAAGAAGGCCUUCGGGUUGUAAACUUCUUUGAUCAGGGACGAAACAAAUGACGGUACCUGAAGAACAAGUCACGGCUAACUACGUG
rnacentral:rRNA from 1 species